CCAGGCGGAGCAGCUGCGACGGAGAGAAGGCCGUCCGGAUGCGCUUGGGCUUCCGGGCGAAGGGGCCGUGCAGGAGCAGGCUGUCCUGGGACACCUCGUUACCUGGAGAUCGGAGGGGAACCCGAGUCUGUCCCCGACCUUACGUGAGAGCAGACCCGGGAGGAAAUGUCUCCAUCGUCUUCACCCCGGGCACACAGGGAGGCGAGAUGAUCUACGAGCAAAUGUCGGAGGUUGGCGUGACCGGACUGAAGAGGGGUUCGAUUAUAGCAGAUGCCGAGGUUUCGGCAACGUCACUCAAAGAGACACCCGUACAUAUGAGAAAAUGAAGGAGAGUUCAACAUCAACCAACGAAGUUGCCUGAAACAACUUUCUGACCUGAGCCUCAGUGAGCUGCAGAGCGGAGGCCAGGAGGAACCUCUCGGAUCCCACCAUGUACUGCUGCCGGGCGAACUCCUUCUCCAGCCGGGACAGCUGCUCGCUGGUGAAGCUGGUGCGCAUGCGU